rnacentral:rRNA from 1 species
UGACUCUGUUCAACGGCCGCGGUAUCCUAACCGUGCGAAGGUAGCGUAAUCACUUGUUCUUUAAAUGAGGACUAGUAUGAAUGGCACCACGAGGGUUAUACUGUCUCCUUUUUCCAAUCAGUGAAACUAAUCUCCUCGUGAAGAAGCGAGGAUAAAUUUAUAAGACGAGAAGACCCUAUGGAGCUUUAAACAAAAUAACAAUUGCUAACCCACUUUACCCUUCCAGAAGCCUAAACUUUACCUUAGCACUCUGAUUAUCAGUUUUAGGUUGGGGUGACCGCGGAGUAAAAAUUAACCUCCACAUUGAAUGGAACUUUGUCCUAAACAAAAAGCUACAACUUUAUGUAUCAGUAAACUGACAUCAAUUGACCCAAUAUUUUGAUCAACGAACCAAGUUACCCUAGGGAUAACAGCGCAAUCCACUUCAAGAGCUCUUAUCGACAAGUGGGUUUACGACCUCGAUGUUGGAUCAGGGUACCCCAGUGGUGCAGCCGCUACUAAAGGUUCGUUUGUUCAACGAUUAAAACCCU